UCUGAUCAGUAUUUUUACAUUGCAUCCUAACUCUUUGGGUGUUAGGUUCUGUUUUUCUUAUGACUCACAAUGUCCAUUCUGCCUUAAAACUGAGAAACUGGGAAACCUCCCAAGAAGCUAACAAAAAACAUAUCUGAUCUUUCCCAGGCACAGAGUUGAAUAUGGAUAAAGUUAGCAGUGAGCAUCAAGAUGUAUGCAUCAUUUGUGCUGGGCUCUUCAUUUCUCUGCGUCAUUAGGAGGGUGGCUCCUUUCAUACAAAGGAGAAGAAAAAAACUUCCAGAGGAGAGAGACUCCUUCACAAAUCAGAUCAUGCAGAUGGACCUACACUGGAAACAUCUACCCAGGUGUGAGUUUAGUGCAGUGAAGGUCAUGGGCAACUGAGAGCAGAGAUCUGUGAAUAAAAGCAGUAUAAACAACAAGAGAGAAGAAUGUGAGUUGUCAGAUUGCUUCUGCACACAUCUAACAGCCAGAGAUACAUUUACAGGUGCAUCUGGCUCUUUCACACAUGAACUACUAAUGAAGACAACACCUUGUAGGAGAUCUAUGUCACCUUUCAGGUGGUUCUGAUGCAGGCCAAAAGUUGAAAACCAUGAUGCUUUUCUGAGCUAAAUCUCCAGAAUAUUUAGCUUAAAUAUUUCCAUGUAGCCUAAAUGUAUGUGAAGGCUACAAUUACCUACUAUAUUAUUAAGACAAUACUGUACAAACAAAAACAACUGGGAGACAUAAAUAUCAAGUCUCCUUUCCCAAAAGUCACUAUAAACUUACUUUGAAGUACAAUCCUAAGUAAUAAAUUAUUUUAACCUGAAAUGCUUUAAUGGGAGAUAUAAAAAGGAAAGUCUUAAAGAUUCUGUACUGGCUUCUAAUUAAAAUAGGAAACCUAUCACAUAAUGUAAUACAAGUAGGUGUACAGCAUAUUAACUUAAGGUAUUAAAGAGUUUACCGUAAUGUCAAUGAAACCCACAUACACCAAAGAACUAAUGCCUCCUUUUAAUUACAUAUCUCUACUUGCUUUGCAUUCUUUUGAAUCCAAAAUAGUUUUUGACUUUCUUUUUCCUUUGUGUUUUUGUUUGAGUCUGGGUCUUAUUUUGUUUCCUGAGCUUACCUCAAACCUGGGAUGCCUCUGUUUCGUGAAUGCUGAAUUACAGUGCUGAACAACCUAUA